AUACGUAGGGGGCGAGCGUUGUCCGGAAUGAUUGGGCGUAAAGGGCGCGUAGGCGGCCCGGUAAGUCUGGAGUGAAAGUCCUGUUUUUAAGAUGGGAAUUGCUUUGGAUACUGUCGGGCUUGAGUGCAGGAGAGGUAAGUGGAAUUCCUAGUGUAGCGGUGAAAUGCGUAGAUAUUAGGUGGAACACCAGUGGCGAAGGCGGCCUGCUGGACGACAACUGACGCUGAGGCGCGAAAGCGUGGGGAGCAAACAGGAUUAGAUACCCUGGUAGUCCACGCUGUAAACGAUGAAUACUAGGUGUGGGGGGACUGACCCCCUCCGUGCCGCAGUUAACACAAUAAGUAUUCCACCUGGGGAGUACGAUCGCAAGAUUGAAACUCAAAUGAAUUGACGGGG
rnacentral:rRNA from 1 species